rnacentral:rRNA from 1 species
UACGUAGGGCGCAAGCGUUGUCCGGAAUUAUUGGGCGUAAAGAGCUUGUAGGCGGUUUGUCGCGUCUGCUGUGAAAAUCCGAGGCUCAACCUCGGACUUGCAGUGGGUACGGGCAGACUAGAGUGUGGUAGGGGAGACUGGAAUUCCUGGUGUAGCGGUGGAAUGCGCAGAUAUCAGGAGGAACACCAGUGGCGAAGGCGACUCUUUGGCCUGUAACUGACACUGAGGCGCGAAAGCGUGGGGAGCAAACAGG